rnacentral:rRNA from 1 species
CGGGUGAGUAACACGUAUCCAACCUGCCGUCUACUCUUGGACAGCCUUCUGAAAGGAAGAUUAAUACAAGAUGGCAUCAUGAGUUCACAUGUUCACAUGAUUAAAGGUAUUCCGGUAGACGAUGGGGAUGCGUUCCAUUAGAUAGUAGGCGGGGUAGCGGCCCACCUAGUCUUCGAUGGAUGGGGGUUCUGAGAGGAAGGUCCCCCACAUUGGAACUGAGACACGGUCCAA